UUUGCCCUAACAAACUCUCGUGAGAAGGUGGAUGCUCAUGGUAAAGUUUUCAAGUGUAAGGUAUUUUUCUGUCAGAAUAUAUUUCAGAUAUUUUAAAUAAGCUAGUAUCAGUAAAGUCAUCUAAGGAUCGCAGAAAAUAAAACGCAGCUGAAUCCGCAAGGCGGAAAGUUUCACAUUUACAUCAAUAUUAUUGCAUAAGACUAACUGAUUAUAAUCAGCUAUUUAAAAUUAAUCUGAAGAUGGUUCGUUUCAAGCCUCCCAUAAUUCAUAAUAUCACCCAAAAAAAAACUCAAAGUAUUAUGAACUCUUUAGGCCUGACGGAGGCAUGGUGGGUGAAAGGAGCCCAAAUCACAAUUUUUAUGUCAUUUGUAAGUUUAUGCAGCGUGCAUAAAGAUAUAUAAAGAUUAGACGUAAAUUAGUAAUUUGUCUCGUGUUAUGAACAGUGCCGACAUUUCAAACGAGAAACGUUUUUAGAGACGGAGGGAGUAUAACUUAAGUUUGUAUUAAAAUAUUGAUUUGAGCUUGGACGUCCAAUUAGUGUGAACGAAACAUGGAGAUGCACAAUGAGACAAAUAAGUUUCUUAAGGUCACAUGAGAAGAAUAAGUUUUUUAAUAGUCAUUAGAAAUCAUGAUUCACUAAAUUGUCUUGUGUACUUUUUAUAAAGACUUUGGCCUUGAAAACUGAUGCAACUUUUUCUACUUAUUUUCUUCUUCCCAUGUGGUUGUGUUUGUUUUACAGCAACUGCAAGUUGAGCUGAGUUAAGAAAAAAUUUACUAAAAUAUAAUUCAGGCAGCUCCCAAUUCCCAUGUCUCCCUGGAACUGUGUAGAUCUACCGAGCCCGCCCCAUAAAGCGAUAAAGAAUGUACUUUUUGAGUUUAUUUUGGGCGGUUCGACUUGGUUUAAAAGAAGUUAGUUACUACUUAUAGGUAAGAAGUCACUUAUACUUGAAAAAUAAAUUUCUAUUUUUCUGUGUGGAUAAUUUUUUGAUAAUUCUUUACUAAUAGGUAUAGAGAUUAGUAUUAUAAUAAUAAAACUAGCGUAGAAGCAUGUGCAAGGCACGGCUACUGUUGUGUAGACUAAUAUGUGUUUGAAUAAAAGGUUGCAGGCUGCAACAGGCCUUGCCUUCAGAAAAUCCAAGGUGCUGUGCAACGCAACUCAGAAGCAAAUCCUGAUGCUCUUGCCUUUAGAAACAAUGAAGAGGGUUGUAGAACAAAACCAGAAAUUUCAAGUUUGUGCCCUUUCAUGGGUUGUUGAAGCUGAAAUGUCACUCCAUUGAAGUGACCGAGUACUCAUGCUUAUUAUUGAGCCCUGUAAGCUAGAGUCCUCUAGUGGCAAGCAAAACCAGGAUAUGUGUCUAUCACAAUCCUCUAAUGGUUGGCAAGCAGAACCAGGACUUUAGAGAAGUUGAAACAGUCUUCUAAUGACAAACAUAACAGUCUCUUCCAAUCUAUUUCUUCAAAUUCUUCUCCAUCUCUUAUCUUUCCUUCUCGCUUCUUCUUCUACCUUUACAACAGAUCAUCUUCCUUUUUACUAGCGUCUAAUCAUCAAUCCAUUAUCUUCAAGCUAAGAGUUCACAAAGUUCCCACUCUUUAGCUUGAGGGGGAGUGUUAAGGGAUAAGAUAAAAGGCUUUUAUGGUCUUUCUAUCCAGAACAUUUGUUUUUACUAGAAUUUAGUAUUGUUUGUAACCUUCUAUAUAUACUGGAGAUGUAAUAACUAUACGAAGACAAGUAAAAAGAAAUGUAGUCAAUUAAUUU
rnacentral:lncRNA from 1 species